AUCAUGUCAUGAACUUAAUGUCCAACUGUUAUGAUGAUGUGCUAAUUAUGAUUUGUUUAUAAAUCAGCAUCCUAUAAGGAGUAAAGGUGCCAUUUUUGUAAUUCUUUAGUUUUAUAUUCAUAAAGUCAUUGUCUAAUUAUUAUGUGUCAUUUUAUUACUGUCCUUUUAGAAAAAGAAUGUCCAAUGACACUACAUGCCCGCCAAUGAUCUGUAUUUAAAAUGACUAACAGUUUGUUCAGACACAGACCCAUUACAGACUUAACCUUAAGAUCAUAUCAAAUUAAUUUUUACAUUCUUAUCCCCAUCCGUUCCAACCAAUUAGGUUUUUUUAUGUAUUUUUACAAAGUUCUUUGGAAUCUGUAAUAAAAAUACGUAAAAAUAAAAUAUAAGAGUCCAACUCAACCCAAUAUUUUCAAUUUAGGUGGAUGAGAAUCUAUCAAUUAACUUGAUCUGGCCUUACCCUAACUUUGGGUCUUUAGCAUUGACUUUUUAUUACAAAAGACAAAGUCAAUAAGUCUUGACUUAUUACGACCCAAGCAUCAACUUUGCAUCAAACAGUCCACAUCAUAAGCUAUCUAUGUACAAAGCUGCUUGAUGAUAUCAUAACUCUUAUAUCAAAAACUUAAACCUGAAACUUAACCUGGUUUUUUAACAUUGAAAUUCUAUUAAGAAAGACAAAGUCAACGUGUACCUUAACCUUGCAAGGACAGACGCAUAGACAGAAGAACUAUACGUCCAGUUUGCCUUGCAGGCAUAGCUAUAUAGUUCAAAGAAAACAUAAGACACUAUUUUAACCAACAAGAUUGUGUAUGGCCUUUGUUUCUACUGCCGAUUUUAUUCAAUUUUAAUGGCAUAUACAUUGCCCAGUAAUAAUAUUAUAAUGUUUUAUGUCCAAUACCAUUUUAAUUCUUUCAACUUUACUUAUCACAAGAUUAAAAUGUACUAUCUCCAAACUUGAAAUAUGAAAUUGCCGAAAUAAUAUAUACUUGAUCAGAUUUCUGAAAAGGACAAUUUAAUCAGAUGUGUUGGAACUAGUAUUACGCAUACUUUUUGCAUAGCUCUUGUUUUAUAUGACUGGAUAUCAGACUGUCCAACUUUAAAUGCCAUUUUCUCAGUUUUAGAAAAAGGGGACAUAAAACAUUAUAAUAUUCACACGACGAUUUGUU
rnacentral:lncRNA from 1 species